rnacentral:rRNA from 1 species
CAGCCGCCGCGGUAAUACGUAUGUCACGAGCGUUAUCCGGAUUUAUUGGGCGUAAAGCGCGUCUAGGUGGUUAUAUAAGUCUGAUGUGAAAAUGCAGGGCUCAACUCUGUAUUGCGUUGGAAACUGUAUAACUAGAGUACUGGAGAGGUAAGCGGAACUACAAGUGUAGAGGUGAAAUUCGUAGAUAUUUGUAGGAAUGCCGAUGGGGAAGCCAGCUUACUGGACAGAUACUGACGCUGAAGCGCGAAAGCGUGGGUAGCAAACAGGAUUAGAUACCCCAGUAGUCCCUGUCUCUUAUACA